CUACGGGAUGCACCAGUGGGGAAUAUUGCACAAUGGAGGAAACUCUGAUGCAGCAACGCCGCGUGGAGGAUGACACUUUUCGGAGCGUAAACUCCUUUUAUAUAGGAAGAAGAUGACGGUACUAUAUGAAUAAGCGCCGGCUAACUCCGUGCCAGCAGCCGCGGUAAUACGGAGGGCGCAAGCGGUACUCGGAAGCACUGGGCGUAAAGAGCGUGUAGGCGGAUUAAAAAGUCAGAGGUGAAAUCCUAUAGCUUAACUAUAGAACUGCUUCUGAAACUCUUAAUCUAGAAUAUGGGAGAGGUAGAUGGAAUUUCUGGUGUAGGGGUAAAAUCCGUAGAGAUCAGAAGGAAUACCGAUUGCGAAGGCGAUCUACUAGAACAUUAUUGACGCUGAGACGCGAAAGCGUGGGGAGCAAACAGGAUUAGAUACCCCGGUAGUC
rnacentral:rRNA from 1 species